rnacentral:tRNA from 1 species
GGGGAUUUAGCUCAGCGGCAUAAGCGCCUGCCUUGCAAGCAGGCAGUUGUGAUUUCAAUCCCUA